GGGUCUUUUGCACCCAUCCUCAGUCUAUCUCGUCUGGCCUCUUGCCUUCGCCCACUCGGGCCUCCUCCCCAGUCCUGAACGGAACAGAAACUUUGCAGGGAAACCUAGGCCUAAAAUUGGGGAACGAAUUUGGUGGCGGGGGAGGACCCGCUGGCGCUGCAGUUCUGAACUCUGACCCUGUAGAGGGAAGAGCCAGGAAACCCUUUCUUCUCCUGAAGUCCAGAUGUCGGGGUUCAGCCAUCCCUUAAAGUUAUUGAAGGGUUGUGUGUAUUGCGUGCGUACAAUAUCGGGGAUGGGGGAAUCUAUGGCUCUCUGCCGAUUCUGAAAGAAGUGCCAGGUUCCAAAGGAGAACCACUUGGGAACAGAGAUGAGAGUCCUUCCGUCUAAAGGGCAGCUCCAUGAGACUCUGGUAGCGGGGAAAGGUGGGGCGCGCCUAGUCUUUUUCGUGGCUCUCAUGUCUUUCGCUCUGAAACCGCCACCUGAAGUGAAAGACUAGGCCUGGGGACAGAAACAAGAAAGAAUUUUUUAUCGAAUGGGCCGGGCCGGUACGACUGCAGCAUGGGAAGUUAGGUCCUGGUGCACAGAAGGUCCCACGGGAGCCUUACCCGGCUGGCAGGGCCCAUGCAAAGGAGGUCGACGAGUAGCACCAGCCGAGCGGACAGGCCAGCGCUCUGCGGCUGCGGACAGCUGGAGCGCCGGGCGCGGCGUAGCGCCUUCAUUCGCUUCCCCUCCACGCGGCGCUGCACGCCUCGGAAAAUAAGUUAGCAAACGGGGAGCCGUUUAUCUCUUUUAUCUUGGGGCCUGAUCCAAUUAAGGAUUCAGCGCCUUCGAGUCCCUAAGUGCCAAGCUAGGGGGCCGGAACCAGUGCAGCCAAGCACAGGUGGCAAAUGCCCGCGCAGCCCCAGCACAGAGAUGUCUUAGGCGCUGCCUCACGCCACUCCCGCGUCCCAGUCCAAGCCUGCGAACAACCCCGAUCCUGGCACACGCCGGAAGUUUUCUUCGGGCUUCUCCAAGGCGCCUCGCCUUUGACACGGCCCAAGACGCGGUCAAGUGGAGGCUCGAGGAGAGACUUGGGACAGUACAGACGCGCAACUAUUGCUGGGAUUGGACGCCGGAGACAUUUCCUAAAUGCCCGAACCUCGAUCUGCCCGGCAGGCUGCCCCCAAACUGGAAAGACUCCAGACACCAGAGAAACCACUGGCCACCGAAAACCCAGCUCUGCGAAGGAGAAAAAAACCCUAAACGUAAUUGGGGGCUCGUACUGGAGGCGAAGUACGCAAAGAAAACCGUAGACCCUGCAGAGGCCAGGGGCAGGAGGGAUGCUGAGAGAUGACAGCGACUCGGGUACUAGUCUUCCAGCUUCUGGCAGUUUUGCUCCCCAGCCGGGAGGCUCCUCGCGGAGCCCCCCGUUGGGGAGAAACGCCGCGGGCUCCCUGGUGCGCGGUUCCUGUUCCCAGGCAGCUUUGCGGGCGUUCGCCUCCCAUCUCCAAGCCUCUGCAACCAGACUGGGGAGGCCUGCGCCGCGCCAUUUGCAUAUUCCCGAGAACACAAGGAGGCCUGUAAUUUUCUCUUUUAAAUCGUUGGACAGGGUUUAGGGCCAGUGCUUCCAAAACCCCGCAGAGUUGAUGUCGUUCUAAAACUCUCUCUUAAGAGAAGGGGACUGGCCUAUUCUUCUGACUUUUCAGAAGACAAGGUGACU